GGUUGCGAUCAUACCAGCACUAAUGUACCGGAUCCCAUCAGAACUCCGUAGUUAAGCGUGCUUGGGCGAGAGUAGUACUAGGAUGGGUGACCCCCUGGGAGGUCUCGGUGUUGCAACCC
rnacentral:rRNA from 1 species